AGAAAAUGUACCCAAUAUUAUGUGUAUUUAUUUGUCUGAUUUUAGGUAGGGGGUAUGGUAAAGUUUUCUAUUGUAAUUUAGAAGUAUUUUAUGUUUUUUUGGAAGAUGCGUGUAUGUGAUGCGAUGAGUCAGAUUAGGCUGCUGUUGGGGGACAGUCCUUUCAUGGGUAUGUUGGUGUGGGGAAGACGUAGGUGUAUAGAAUAAAGUGAGCAAUUCGCAACAUCACAGGUGUCUGGGUCGGCUGGAAUAUUCGGAGAGCAGCUUUCCCUCCGGAGAAGAGCCGCCAGACUGGUCUUGUUGUGCCCCAGGCGGGCGUGGAAACACCCAGAAGAAUCACAAACAAGAAACACACGCAUACCACAGGUGAGGAGAGGAGAGGAGAGGGCAGGGCUCAGGGAUACGCCCACAGGGGGCAGGGAGGGCUGGAGGGAGGUGGAGACAGCGGGACGCGAAAUGUGUUUGGAAACAGCCUGAAGUCGCGGAGGCUUCGGCUGUGUGGACAGUGAUGGAUGGCGUGUUGGAGACGGCGGUGGCUCUGGGACUGUGCAAGGUGGCCUGUAGUCUCCUGUUCCUGCCCGCUGUCAAGACUUCUCCCAGCGCCGUCAGCCUUUGCUGCAGCGCCCUGCUGCUGUUCACUGACCUCGCGGUAACAGCGUUCCUGGCCCUCCUCUGGCUGCUUGGCUUCUGGCUGCCCCCGCUAACCUCAUCCAGCGACGCCAUUGCCCUGCGCUUCCUGCUCUUCCUCGGCCACACCUACGGCGAGGUGCUGCUGCUGACGAUUCCGUUCGUCGCCGUGGAGACGGCGUGCAGACUGCAGUGGCCCCUGUCAGGUGGAAGAGAGGCAGGCUGCGUGGCGCUGCAAGGGCGAAACAGAGCCACGGGAAGCUGGAGAGGCUGUGAAGAGACGGAGAGACUGCAGGGCGCCUGCACUCACGAUGGACAAAACCCGGGUCGCGGCGGAUGUGGAGCAUGGGACGGGGAGAUGGACGCGGUGCACUGGCAGCGGGAAGGGCAGAGAGAGUCCUUGCUGCACAUCUCUGGGUUCCUUUGCUGUCUGCUCAUCUGGGUGCUGUGCAGUCUGUGCAGCGGUCCUCACUGGGGCCCAGAGGUUCAGUGCACGGAGGCUUGUUUGCUGGCGUCUGGUUCGCUCUCCGCCUGCCUCCCGAACCUCCCUGCGGUGACCCUUCCGGCAGUGAGGGAUCCCUCGGUGACACUCUUCUCCCUGGCUCUCUUAGUGGCCAUGGCGCUGGUCCUCAGGGGCCUUAGGAAGGGCCCGAGUCACUCUAAGCCAUGCCUUCCAGGCCUCGAAGUAGGGAAGAGCAAAUGUGCCCAGAAGGAGGAAUUACAACCGGCCACAUUACACACAUCCCCCGGGACAGCAGUGGUCACGUUAGUGGUUUUGUGCCGGACGCCAGCGGCGAGCGCCGAGGAGACGCCGCACGGGCACCGCUGCCACGGACACGACAUCUGCCACCCCGUCUUGCCCACAUGUGCAGAAUCCCCCGAUGACCACAGCAGUCUCUUCAUCCACCCGCACUCGGGACCCUUGACACGCACGUGCUCCGAGUGCACCGUCCUUCGAUACGUAGCUCGAGCGCUGGACACGUGCUGCCCACGCGCUGCCUCUGCCCCCCACCAAACACCCGACGGCGAGCGACACGCAAAGCACCUCCAAAGGAGGCAGUAUAUUUCCUACUGGGAAGGAAGGCUGAUAACAGCACUCAUGUGUGGUGUCACACUGUGUUUCUUCCCUCCGGCCCUGAGUGUAAACACACUAUUGAUCUGGAGUGUGGAGGGACUGCUUGAAUGGGUCUUGAGGCAUCUACUGUCUAGGUGCGGUGAGGGAAUUGUCGAAAACGAGGUGUAACUCGCCGGAGAGAGACAAAAACGUGAGUCCUACUGUCAACGCUACAGACAGAGGGGAAGAUGGGUUGUAAUGCGUCUUACUGUCAUCAUCAUCAUCACACUGGGAGAGAAGGGGGAGCUUAAAGGGUCUUAUUGUCUUCACAUUCACACCGACUCUCUCUUACACUCUCAGAAUGAUGGGAAGAAGGUUCAACCCCUUCGGUGAUCCCGCGUCUCUGAGUUGUAUGUUCUUCAACGGGUAACGCAGUAACGCAGUGUUUCGCUGCCCACGUUUGACAAAACACAGUAUGUACAUUAGGAAGGGACAAAAAAGAAUGGAAAAUGACAAUAUGGGCAGCGGAAGGAGGCAGAUGUCGAGGGCGUGAGGUGCCAACAGACGACUAACGUUCAAUGACAGCGAUGAUGCAGCUGCUCCAUCUGCAAUUAUCUGCGUAACAAAAGAGCCGGAGCUCAGACUCCACAGUUAUUUGUCUAUGAC
rnacentral:lncRNA from 1 species